AAUCAACGCUGGCGGCGUGCCUCAGACAUGCAAGUCGAACGCUGCUGUUCGCCUUCGGGUGGACAGCGGAGUGGCGCACGGGUGAGUAACACGUAGGUAAUCUACCUUUGGGUGGGAAUAACAGCCGGAAACGGCUGCUAAUACCGCAUAAUGCAGCGGCAUCACAUGAUGACAGUUGUUAAAGCGAGGGAUCGUAAGACCUCGCGCCUGAAGAGGAGCCUGCGGCAGAUUAGGUAGUUGGUGAGGUAAUGGCUCACCAAGCCUGCGAUCUGUAACCGGCCUGAGAGGGCGGGUCGGUCACACUGACACUGACAUACGGGUCAGACUCCUACGGGAGGCAGC
rnacentral:rRNA from 1 species